GACGAACCGUGCGAACGUUAUUCGGAAUCACUGGACUUAAAGCGCGUGUAGGCGGGCCGGCACGUCGGUCGCUGAAAUCCCCCGGCUCAACCGGGGAACGGGCGCCGAUACGACCGCCCUGGAGGGACGUAGGGGGACCUGGAACUUCCGGUGGAGCGGUGAAAUGCGUUGAGAUCGGAAGGAACGCCCGUGGCGAAAGCGAGGUCCUGGACGUUUUCUGACGCUGAGACGCGAAAGCCAGGGGAGCGAACGGG
rnacentral:rRNA from 1 species